ensembl:lncRNA
AAUAAAUUUCUGUCUUCUUUCAGCCACUGAAUUAAUUAUUGGGUCUUGAUGUUGACCAUCUACCCAACACAGACACCUAGAAUUGGGGUGAUUCCAUAAAAUGUGUGUGUGUGUAUACGUAAACAGUGGGCACCAAGGAAAACAGAUGGUUCAAGUUGGAGAGCUGGAUAUGAUUUCUCUGGCACUCCAGAAUAUUUCCAUAACUCAUCAGCCAUGUGUGAUAAUGUAGAGGGCAGACCACAUGCCUGUGUGCUCCGAGCAACUGUGGGAAAGAGCCAGAAUUUUAGUGGGUCUUGGCUCUUAGUGAUAGUGGCUGCUUUUAGCAGCGACUGUCAAUGCCCCACUCACGUUCCCCCACCUUCGCCGCUUCAACGUACAAGACCCAUUUCCAACCGUCAGUAGUACCUUCUCCCUCUUGGGCUGGUCUCUGCUGGAGGUGGCUCUACUGGUCAGAGAGAAACAGAGCUGGCCCAGGACCAAGAGGAAGGUAAACGUGAGCAUCUUGAGUCAGCUCAAAACUGAAAACAGAGGAACUCCAGCCGUUCCCGUGAUCAAUGAAGUUCUUCUGUAACCUUCAUGUUCCUCUUGGGAAGUUCCUUCCAAAUUUCUCCUUGCAAGCUCCUGGCACCUUUUGACACCUUCACUUAUGAGUUCUGGAAUCUUUCUGGCUUUUACUCACCAUCCUAUCACUCGGAUCCUCUCUCUCUUGCCCAGAAGAAUACCACAACUAUAUGGGUCCUACAGUGAGAGCAACAAUUAAAAGCAUGCUAAAGCAGUACACAUUAUCACGGGGUGGCCCUAUUUAAUGGGCAGGUGUGGAAACAUUGCCUGACCUUGGAGCAGCUUUGUCCCCACAUUCUUGAUGCCAAGUAAGACUCUCCAAUUCUAGUUGAAACUAUCCUAACAAACUCCGUUUUUAUUUGUUCUUGUAUGCACAGAGAUUGACAUAUAGUAGGCAGUCAAUAAGUGUUCGCUGACUAAAUGCAGGGCUUGAAAGAAAGUGAGCUCUGAGCACAUCUGGACCAACCAAGUGCCUUACACGUGGUGUAUUCAAUCCUUGUAGCAACUUCCUAAGUCAGAAAUCCAAUCUAGAGUAAGUAAAUGGUUAAAGGUUCCACUGAAAAAGUGGCGGGCCCCAAAUUUGAGUUCGUUGCCUAAUCCAAAAGGCUGAGUGCUUGUCAAAGAGCCACCUUCCCUGAAAAUGGAGCUUCUGAUAGAUUCUGGGAAAUCACCCCCAACACAGGUUCUCUCGUUUCCCACAUUUCGUCUUCCCAGCAUCUCUUCUCCCCCUUCCUCUGUCACACAUCCUGGCAACAGGAGUGGGCACGUGACCGAGGCUGGGGAUUUGCUAUCUAGGACUAGACAUGAUCAGACGGUCAGACCCUGAAUCCCUGAUUGCUACCUGCUGCGACUAGUCCACAAGAGACUCUGCAGGCAAAUGAAGUCUAUUAAUUAGGGCUUUAUUGCUACACCCCUAGGUCAUCCCGUGUGUCUUCUAAUCAGAAUAGUUUUGCUCUCUACCAAUAAUUAAAUCUUCAGGAAUUUUGCGAACCAGUUUUUAAACUGUUGGUAUCUUGCAGUCAGCCAUUAUAGGAAUAUUUAUGCCACGGAAAUGGGCAGACACUGAUCAGGACAAUUGGAAGGAGUGGUCA